AAUUUAGGGGUCUCGUUGGUGACCAGCGGAGGGAUCAUUA
rnacentral:rRNA from 1 species